UGAGAUUGAAUAACAACUACAAUACAUAUAGCUUCGGCGGCAAGAAAAAACUGGUCCUCUCAACUGCAACCUGGCUUGGGGGGAAGAACGACUUUCUUGGCUUUGCGUACCUUAUAGUUGGCGGGCUCUGCAUUUUCCUGGCAUUUGCAUUCACCUUGCUGUACUUCGUAAAACCAAGGUUAGUGACUUUUGACUGUCUGUUGCAAUCGCUUGGAAAUUAGCUGUGUGCUGGAUUUAGUCCGUGAACCCGCUAUAUAUAUGCAUACGCUAUCCACUGUUAGCCAUACUGUGAAUUUGAUGCUUGCUGUGAAGUCAGGUAUUCUGAUUAUGCCUGGUGCAGCCCAUUUUAUCUCAACAUCUUUUAUGUCAAUUAAAGGUUGAGGUGGCCCUGAGGCUUUAGCUGUAUUGAGUACAUUUCACGACAUUACCUUGGUCCUGUUGUUGAAAGUUCUUCCAUAGGAGCACCUUCUAUAAAUUUUGGUGGACUAGAACCAGACAACCAGCUGUUCUGUUUUACUUGUCCUUCACACUGCUAAUUUGGUUAUCAUGGUGUAAUAUUGUGUUGAGUAAACUGUGGCCUAGCAUGAUCAAGAGGCUUGUACCAUAAGCAUGAUCGUUUUAGGACUCCUCUGUGCUUGUUAAAGCAUCUGUCUUAUCAUUAUUUUUUGUUGACACGAUACACGAGUGGAAAUGCUAAUCCAAUCUGUGGCCUUCGGCAGGAAACUGGGAGACCACAACUACUUAUCCUGGAACAGACACCCUGCAGGACGCUAAGAUGUUUUGGAAUGCCAAGUGUCCAUGCUACUUGAAGUGUAACUUGUAUGAAAUGAAAUGCUCUGAACCAGAAAUCUGUUGGGCAUAUGCAAGUAUGGUUCAGGCUAGAACUUCAUGUAC
rnacentral:lncRNA from 1 species